CACGAGCGGCGAACGGGUGAGUAACACGUGGGUAACCUGCCCUGUACUCUGGGAUAAGCCUGGGAAACUAGGUCUAAUACCGGAUAUGACCUGCCUCCGCAUGGUGGUGGGUGGAAAGUUCCGGCGGUACAGGAUGGACCCGCGGCCUAUCAGCUUGUUGGUGGGGUAAUGGCCUACCAAGGCGACGACGGGUAGCCGGCCUGAGAGGGUGACCGGCCACACUGGGACUGAGACACGGCCCAGACUCCUACGGGAGGCAGCAGUGGGGAAUAUUGCACAAUGGGCGAAAGCCUGAUGCAGCGACGCCGCGUGAGGGAUGACGGCCUUCGGGUUGUAAACCUCUUUCAGCGGGGACGAAGGGCAACUGACGGUACCCGCAGAAGAAGCACCGGCUAACUACGUGCCAGCAGCCGCGGUAAUACGUAGGGUGCGAGCGUUGUCCGGAAUUAUUGGGCGUAAAGAGCUCGUAGGCGGUUUGUUGCGUCGGCUGUGAAAACUUCACGCUUAACGUGGAGCCUGCAGUCGAUACGGGCAGACUUGAGUUCGGCAGGGGAGACUGGAAUUCCUGGUGUAGCGGUGAAAUGCGCAGAUAUCAGGAGGAACACCGGUGGCGAAGGCGGGUCUCUGGGCCGAUACUGACG
rnacentral:rRNA from 1 species